rnacentral:misc_RNA from 1 species
CCACCACCACCGUACUACGACCCGUCUAUUUCCAGUGAUUCCAAGGGCAACAAACUAAAGCCGGAUAGAGGCUUCGAUUGGGACGCUAGCGGUGAUCACAAAGUAAAUCAGCAAGCGAAUAGUAAUAGGAUUGGUAAUUUGAAUUUGUACUCGUCGAUCGGAUUGCAAAGGCAAUCAAGCGGGAGUAGUUUCGGUGAGAGUUCGUUGUCUGGAGAGUGUUAUGCGCCGACGCUGUCAACGGCUGGGGGGAAUGAGAUUGAGGCUUAUGGAAACAUGCAUGAGGAUGGGG